CGUUGUUCGGAAUUACUGGGCGUAAAGGGCGCGUAGGCGGUGUGUCAAGUCAGGCGUGAAAGCCCCGGGCUCAACCUGGGAACCGCGCUUGAGACUGGCACGCUAGAGUUCGGGAGAGGAUGGUGGAAUUCCCAGUGUAGAGGUGAAAUUCGUAGAUAUUGGGAAGAACACCGAUGGCGAAGGCAGCCAUCUGGACCGACACUGACGCUGAGGCGCGAAAGCGUGGGGAGCAAACAGG
rnacentral:rRNA from 1 species